CGAGCGUGAAAGGUCUUCGGACUGAGUAAAGCGGCGGACGGGUGAGUAAUGCUUGGGAAUCUACCUAGUAGUGGGGGAUAACGUGUGGAAACGCACGCUAAUACCGCAUACGUCCUACGGGAGAAAGCAGGGGACCUUCGGGCCUUGCGCUAUCAGAUGAGCCUGCGUCGGAUUAGCUAGUUGGUAGGGUAAAGGCCUACCAAGGCGACGAUCCGUAGCUGGUCUGAGAGGAUGAUCAGCCACACUGGGACUGAGACACGGCCCAGACUCC
rnacentral:rRNA from 1 species